rnacentral:rRNA from 1 species
UACGGAGGGGGCUAGCGUUGUUCGGAAUUACUGGGCGUAAAGCGCGCGUAGGCGGAUCUGCAAGUCGGGGGUGAAAUCCCGAGGCUCAACCUCGGAACUGCCUUCGAUACUGCGGGUCUCGAGUCCGGGAGAGGUGAGUGGAAUUCCUAGUGUAGAGGUGAAAUUCGUAGAUAUUAGGAAGAACACCAGUGGCGAAGGCGGCUCACUGGCCCGGUACUGACGCUGAGGUGGCGAAAGCGUGGGAGCAAACAGG